CCGUGUAUGGCUAAUACUAUUGACUAUAUUCAGGGAGAUUUUUGCCACCUAAUUAAAACUCAGCUAAGUGGCAAUACUUGAAUUAUAAACUAAUAGCUAACAUAAACCCAUUUUGUUGUGCUAGGGAUUGUACAACGAGCAACAAAAACUGGAUAAUUAAAAAUUAAUAUCACAUAGUGAUCGAUGCCGCGGGGGAAUGUCCAUUGCAAAUUAUAGAGAUUCAUUAACCUUGAGUGUGAAUGGAUUAUCCAGGUGUCCUGUAUGUGUCGGUUUGUGAAGGACAAAGAGAGGCCAUGUCACAGAUUAUUCUAAUCCCUGUAUACGCAGGGUAAAUUAAACUGGCCGUUGUCAUUGGUGAACAGAGCUGUCAUUCAGUAUGCUGGUAAAAUAACAACUAUACAACCUCUAUGAAUCUGAGCUACACUGACAGUCAAAUCAGAAAAUCAACAUAGAAAUGUUGAAUCCUUCCAACGAUAUGAGCAACACAAUUUACCUACCAACCCGUCCCGACUGACUACCCUGCUCCGAAACAAACCAGAUGAUAAGAUUAACAGACUGGAGCAGCUCCAGUCAUUUGAGUUAUGUCAUCAAAGCUGUGCGAUUGACCCACAGACUAUACGACCCGCAGGUGUUCUUCUACCUGCGCCAACAUAACUGUCUUUCAACUGACUAGCAAUCUCGAGCACCAACUUUUCAAUUGAACAGCUGUCCAGCACAAGCAAGGAACCUCAGCAGCCAGCUCACUUUCAUGCCAAACCUUCGGCACAUCUAAGCAGUCUUUCCACCUCUACCAGCCAUCCAGUAAUAUGCAUCCGCUGUCGGCUUGGAUACUGACUGUCAACACCUCUUUGACGUUGUUUCUUUGGAACUUCCUGUUUCGGCAGGUCUUUUGCAAGAAAGUGGAAGAUGACCCGGAACACGCGGUCCCCAUCACAGCAUGAAUAAGUACACAUACCUGGCUCCUUCCCGCAGGGGGCUUGCUUCAAGUCAAAAGGACCCAACCACAGCAAGAUAGAGCAGAGCGGUGGAGAAGAGGGGGCGGAUCAUUUCCAGAAUACUUUCAUUGCUCCUACAUUCAUGGUUUUGAAGCGUGGUUCAGUUGUUGUUCAUCUAACACUUACCGUUACUGGAACGGUUUGUAUACAAAGAUGAAAGAAUCAAGGCAAAAUUGGAGCCAACCAAAUUUUCCGCUCAGAUAUCUUUUCAUCUUAGUACUCCUUUUAACAGCACAAAACAUUUGAAGGUGAGGUGAGGUGUGCCCUUCAGAUUCAACACAUUUUAUUAAAGGUACAGUGUGUAGAAUUGAGGGGCAUCCAGCAGAAUAGACUUGUCCAAAAUGGAAUGUAAAAUUCAUAAGUUUUCAGUUGGUUGCAAUCUUUCAUAACCAAUUUCAAACAACAAAUAUACCUCUUUUGAAAUCGUCCAAGUACCCCCUCCAAUCCUCCAUAGAUAAGUUUUAAUAUCAGAAAAUCAUCCCCAUUGAUUGAUAGAUGAGUCUAAUUAGGUUCCAUUAAUUUGAUAUGAUAUGGAUAUAGGAUGUAGGACACAUAUAUAUGUGAAAAUUAUAUAGAUUAUAUAUAAAUUAUAAAGAAAAUACAUAGUUGGAAAUGCAGUGUGUUACAAAAUAAAAAUAUAUAUUGUGUUUUCAAAGCUGAAAUUGUGUUUGUUGUAGUAAUACUUUGGCACUUGUUUAAGAGACAUUAAUAGGUGAUGCUAAUGUUAAAGCUAAACUAGGUUCCCUAUUAUAACAAUCCCUCCCUCCAAAAAUAUCAUCAUUAAUAUAAUCAACAUUUGAUGAGUCAUUGUCACCAGCAUGAGUAUGAAAACAUGGCAAAUAAGCUUGACCUAUCACCUUUCACCCAACCCUAGAGCUUGGAAAGAAUAUCAUCUGGGGAAUUGCUUUUGUUUGUUGUGUGUUUUGUAUAAUUACAAUGAAAUGAAUGGCCUUGCCCUUCAACAUUAAAAACGCUGGAAUAAUUAAACGUA
rnacentral:lncRNA from 1 species